UGCUCCGAAACACUUUACACUGCGAAAUAAUAGAAUAGAGACGGCGCGUUCCCUAUUUUGUUUGUUUUCUUAGACCGCCCGUAUGAUUUAUUCGAGACAGUCGCGGGGCAUUCAGGUAUUCAAAUGUCAGAGAGUGAAAUCCUGAUUUUAUGGAAGACUAACUACUGCGAAAGCAUUCGCCAAAGGAUGUCUUCAAUAAUCAGUGAACGAAAGGUAGGGGAUCGAAGACGAUCAGAUACCGUCGUAGUCUUAACCGUAAACUAUGCCGACUAGAGAUCGAGCGAUGUUCUUUUUUCUGACUCGCUCGGCACCUUACGAGAAAUCAAAGUUUUUGGGUUCUGGGAGAAGUAUGGUCGCAAGGCUGAAACUUAAAGAAAAUUGACGGAAGGGCACCACCAGGCGUGGAGCCUGCGGCUUAAUUUGACUCAAACACGGGGAAACUCACCAGGUCCAGAUGAAAUAAGGAUUGACAGAUUGAGAGCUCUUUCUUGAUUUUUCAGGUGGUGGUGCAUGGCCGUUCUUAGUUGGUGGAGUGAUUUGUCUGCUUAAUUGCGAUAACGAACGAGACCUUAACCUGCUAAAUAGCCAGGCUAGCUUUGGCUGGUCGCCGGCUUCUUAGAGGGACUAUCGGCUCAAGCCGAUGGAAGUUUGAGGCAAUAACAGGUCUGUGAUGCCCUUAGAUGUUCUGGGCCGCACGCGCGCUACACUGACAGAGCCAACGAGUUAUUCACCUUGGCCGGAAGGUCUGGGUAAUCUUGUUAAACUCUGUCGUGCUGGGGAUAGAGCAUUGCAAUUAUUGCUCUUCAACGAGGAAUGCCUAGCCCCUUGCAUGUCAUCAGCAUGCGUUGAUUACGUCCCUGCCCUCCGCUUCAUCGCCGCCCGUC
rnacentral:rRNA from 1 species